GUGGGGAAUUUUGGACAAUGGGCGCAAGCCUGAUCCAGCAAUGCCGCGCGCAGGAAGAAGGCCUUCGGGUUGUAAACUGCUUUUGUACGGAACGAAACGGUCCUGGCUAAUACCCGGGGCUAAUGACGGUACCGUAAGAAUAAGCACCGGCUAACUACGUGCCAGCAGCCGCGGUAAUACGUAGGGUGCGAGCGUUAAUCGGAAUUACUGGGCGUAAAGCGUGCGCAGGCGGUGCUGUAAGACAGGCGUGAAAUCCCCGGGCUCAACCUGGGAAUUGCGCUUGUGACUGCAGUGCUGGAGUGCGGCAGAGGGGGAUGGAAUUCCGCGUGUAGCAGUGAAAUGCGUAGAUAUGCGGAGGAACACCGAUGGCGAAGGCAAUCCCCUGGGCCUGCACUGACGCUCAUGCACGAAAGCGUGGGGAGCAAACAGGAUUAGAUACCCGUGUAGUCC
rnacentral:rRNA from 1 species